ensembl:lincRNA Gm43397 predicted gene 43397
GCUGUGGGGCUGGGUCUUUGGAAAGUGAGCUGAAAACCAGUGUUUGCCUCUGGCCGUCCUGACCACAGAUGCAAUGUGUUCAACCGUCUCAAACUCGACCACCAUAACUUCCUGAAUCAAACGCCUAUAAAAAUAAACCCUAAGGGCUGGAGAGAUGACUCCACGGGCAAAGAGCUUGCUGCAUAAGCGCGAGGACAGGAGUUUGAAUCCCCGUAUAAUGCCAGAGCUCUGCUUCGGACUGACAAAAAGGUAGUUCCAGCAAGAAACACAGAAUGGAAAUAUUGGCUGGGAACUCAAGCAAGGAUAAAGAGUGUGUACACAGAGCCAGGCAGAGUGGGACACGCCUACCAUCCCGGCACUCGGGAGGCCGAGGCAGGAAGAUUGUGCGUGUAAGGCCAGCCUGGUCUACCCAGUGAGUAAGCUAACCUUUACCAAACGGGGCCUGUGGACAUUCUGUAAUAAAGAUGGGUGGGGCUCACAA